AUUGAACGCUGGCGGCAUGCUUUACACAUGCAAGUCGAACGGCAACACGCCGCCAAGUGUUGACGCGUGGCGAACGGGUGAGUAUUGUACCGCAACGUGCCCCCUCGUGGGGGAGAACUACCCGCAAGAGUAGCUCAUAUCCCACACGAUCUAUGGCUGAAAGAGGGGGACAGCAGGGACUCGCUCGCUUGGAGCGGCCGAUGUCCGAUUAGGUAGUUGGUGGGGUAAAGGCUCACCAAGCCAACGAUCUGUAGCUGGUCUGAGAGGACGACCAGCCACACUGGGACUGAGACACGGCCCAGACUCCUACGGGAGGCAGCAGUGGGGAAUUUUGGACAAUGGGCGCAAGCCUGAUCCAGCAAUGCCGCGUGCGGGAAGAAGGCCUUCGGGUUGUAAACUGCUUUUGUACGGAACGAAACGGCUCUGGUUAAUACCCGGGGCUAAUGACGGUACCGUAAGAAUAAGCACCGGCUAACUACGUG
rnacentral:rRNA from 1 species